CAGUACUCAUUGUACAUUUUUGUAAAGGACCAACAAUGCAUCUUUCUAUUGUACUAAUGGUAGUACUAAUUGUACAUCAAUAGAAUAAAUAAACCCACUUUCUCUAGAACUUUCUUCCUAUGUCUCACUAAAUUCUAACCCUAAUUUGUCGCCUCCUUCGUCAACUCCGACUAUUCUCUCAACUCAAAUUGUAGCCCUAAUUCCUCGCCUCCUUCGUCAACUGCGACUAUUCUCUCAACUCUUCCUUCUAUACUUCUCAUCUGUUGAAUGCCCAAUCCGUCUGCUCCGUACUUGUUCUUCUUUGUCUGCACAAUUUAAAUCUGUCUCUCAAGCUUUCCUGAAGACCGCUCUUUGUUUCCGACGACCUGCGCAGCUGCUUGUUCAUGCUUUAAGUUUCUGUCCUUCUUGGUAAAGUCGUUGUAUUCUCUCAACUCUUCCUUGUACUUCUCAACUCUUCAAUGGCCAAUCUAUCUGCUGCUUACUGUUUUCUGUUUGGUUAGAGAGUUCAAAUCUGUC
rnacentral:lncRNA from 1 species